AGCAUUCCAGUUUGCUUGCAAACUGGAGAUGGCGACCGGCGCACGGGUGAGUAACACGUAUCCAACCUGCCGAUAGCUCGGGGAUAGCCUUUCGAAAGAAAGAUUAAUACCCGAUGGCAUAAUAGAACCGCAUGGUUUGAUUAUUAAAGAAUUUCGGUUAUCGAUGGGGAUGCGUUCCAUUAGGCAGUUGGUGGGGUAACGGCCCACCAAACCUUCGAUGGAUAGGGGUUCUGAGAGGAAGGUCCCCCACAUUGGAACUGAGACACGGUCCAAACUCCUACGGGAGGCAGCAGUGAGGAAUAUUGGUCAAUGGACGAGAGUCUGAACCAGCCAAGUAGCGUGAAGGAUGACUGCCCUAUGGGUUGUAAACUUCUUUUAUAUGGGAAUAAAGUGGUCCACGUGUGGAUUUUUGUAUGUACCAUAUGAAUAAGGAUCGGCUAACUCCGUGCCAGCAGCCGCGGCAAUACGGAGGAUCCGAGCGUUAUCCGGAUUUAUUGGGUUUAAAGGGAGCGUAGGUGGACAGUUAAGUCAGUUGUGAAAGUUUGCGGCUCAACCGUAAAAUUGCAGUUGAUACUGGCUGUCUUGAGUACAGUAGAGGUGGGCGGAAUUCGUGGUGUAGCGGUGAAAUGCUUAGAUAUCACGAAGAACUCCGAUUGCGAAGGCAGCUCACUGGACUGCAACU
rnacentral:rRNA from 1 species